CCCCUCCCUUGCCACUAGAUCGGGGCCGGCACGCCUCGACGUCGUUGCCCACAACCUAUUCUUCCUCGGCGUCGACCGCCCUUAAUCCCGUCGAUUCGCUGCCGCCAUUGCCUUGUCUUUCCUCCCUGGGCCUUCCCAGCAUCGCAGGUGAGCGGCCGCUACUCCACUCUCUCUACACAUCUUCCCGUAGCCAUAACCAUCGCUGUCGCCGAAGCCGAAGCCUGCUUCCACUGCUAUGCUCGCCACCGUUGCUACAACGAAGUUCCACUGCACUACUCGCCGUAGUUGCUACAACCGUCGGCGUGCUCAGCUGAGCAUGGGAGCAUGCUCAGCACGUCCCUAGGCGGCCAACGUGCACACGCAUGCCCUUCCCCGUGGCCCGUAGCCCCGCUACCAGCGCCGCCGAACGCCGCCGCCCGCUUAGCUCAUCGUUGUCCUAGAUCCUGGCCGCCUCCGGCCAAGCCACCCCGACAUUCAACACGCGGCUCUGCCCACGCUCGAUCUCGCAUGGCCACAACCGAUUUAGCCCCCUGUGUCGAUUUUCCGGCGACGCCGUGAGUCGAGGUCGCCAGCGCGGUUCCAGCGCCGCCCACUCACAUGGUCGGCCAGGUGGAACCUCCGGGUCACUGGCGAGGGGCCCCCGCUAGCCCAGUUGACGAGUUGACGAGGUCAACUAGCUCACUGGGCAGCCCUAGUCGCUGCCAUGUGGGGCAGCCCCCCUAGGCCACUCACAUGUGGGCCCAAGGCCAUUAACUUUAAGUAUGCGGUUAGUUUUAAUAAAAUGAUUAAAUUUAAAUUAAUAGGUCACUAAUAUGUUGGACCCACACUGCUAAUUAACCAUAUUUAGAAUUAAUAAAACCCUGUUUAACCAUAAGCCUAUGACAGGUGGGGCCCAUUGUCAGGUUUGACUAAUCAGCCCCACUGUUGAUUGCGGACACCAGCAUGAUGUCAUACUAACAUCACAAAUGCAUUUUUCAAAUUAUUAUAACUCUAUUAAUUUCAGAACAAUAUUAAAACUUUGAAAAUUAAUAUAAAUUAAUACGUAAGUCACAUGAAAAUAAUUUAUAUAUGAAAAAUGACCAAAAAAAUCCCAUGAAUCUGAUUACUCUAUUCGUUCAUGUGUCACAUACUCCUAGCAUGAUGAACAUGGAACUUUCCUCCCCAUUUCAUUUGUCCGGUAGUAGCCACAGACCCGGGAAAUAUCGUUUGAUAUUUUCCCGAUCCGUCUAUGAUGUAUAAUACCGCGUUAGCUCAUGUCUAGCAUUGCAUAUUGCCAUGUCAUGCAUCGUGAUGCAUUUCUCUGCUUUAUAUUUAUUGUUUCUUCGCCCUCUUCUCUCCGGUAGACGCUGACGCUGAUGUUGAUGCUGUUGGCGGGUAUGACUACCCUCUUCAUGACUAGCCCUU
rnacentral:lncRNA from 1 species